rnacentral:rRNA from 1 species
UACGUAGGGUGCUAGCGUUGUCCGGAAUCAUUGGGCGUAAAGCGCACGUAGGCGGCAUUGCAAGUCGGAUGUGAAAUCCCUCGGCUCAACCAAGGAAGUGCAUCCGAAACUGCUGUGCUUGAGUACUAAAGAGGAUCGCGGAAUUCCCGGUGUAGAGGUGAAAUUCGUAGAUAUCGGGAGGAACACCAGUGGCGAAGGCGGAUCUCUGGGCCUUACCUGACGCUGAGGAGCGAAAGCAUGGGGAGCAAACAGG